rnacentral:rRNA from 1 species
GGGGGAUAACACUUGGAAACAGGUGCUAAUACCGCAUAACAGUUUAUGCCGCAUGGCAUAAGAGUGAAAGGCGCUUUCGGGUGUCGCUGAUGGAUGGACCCGCGGUGCAUUAGCUAGUUGGUGAGGUAACGGCUCACCAAGGCCACGAUGCAUAGCCGACCUGAGAGGGUGAUCGGCCACACUGGGACUGAGACACGGCCCAG